rnacentral:lncRNA from 1 species
AAUUUAUUUUCUACUCAGAAAUAUCUAUACUAGGGUCAAUUUAGACAUUUUUUAAUAAAAAAAAACCCUACAUGUUGAAUAUAUACCAUGAUGAUAAAGUUUGAGAAAAAAAAACCAGAGAAUCUGCCGCCACUUAUAUACAUAUUCUAGAUCUUUCUCUUAAAAAAUUCAAAAAUAAAAAUAAAAGAGAAUAAACACCACAUUUUCUUAUGGGAAAUGUGACUUCCUUAUCAUGUUCAUGAAAACACCACCUUCCAUCCAUAUCUCCUUCUCACAUUGAUUCUCCAAAAAAAAAACACUCAUCCCCUUUUUCAUCAAACAAAACUUUCAUGCUUCAAAUCACCAACUUAGUAUAAACCCACACAAACCUCUUUCAUUUUCAUGUUCUGAUUUCAUUUCCAUUCAUUCACAUAACAAUUUCUUCUUCAUUCUAACAUGUUAACUUCAACAAUACAA